rnacentral:rRNA from 1 species
AUGUCCAGGCACCCAUCCAGCACGGGAUUUGUGGCGGGGAAAAGGAGGACAAGGACGGCUUUGGCGCGAAGAGCUGGCUCGGAGCAGCCGAGCGCCGUCGCCGCGGAGGGUAGGCAGCGCCGCACAGCCGUGAGGGCCAGGGAGGAGUGCCCCGACGGGCCAAGAAGCUGCUGCUGCAAGCGCCGCGCGGGCCGGGAGGAGGUCCGCCGCAGAUCGAGGAGGAGCGCCGCCCGCGUGCCCUGGGAAGGAGGUCCGCCGCAGAUCGAGGAGGAGCGCCGCCGUAGAUCAGCCGCACCGGCCGACCUCCUUGCUCACGUCGCUCGGACCCGCCCGCCCCUCCCCAACGCCGGCCCUCUAGCUACCAGGCGAGUGAGGUGA